rnacentral:rRNA from 1 species
UGGGGAAUAUUGGACAAUGGGCGAAAGCCUGAUCCAGCCAUGCCGCGUGUGUGAAGAAGGUCUUCGGAGUGUAAAGCACUUUAAGUUGGGAGGAAGGGCAUUAACCUAAUACGUUAGUGUUUUGACGUUACCGACAGAAUAAGCACCGGCUAACUCUGUGCCAGCAGCCGCGGUAAUACAGAGGGUGCAAGCGUUAAUCGGAAUUACUGGGCGUAAAGCGCGCGUAGGUGGUUUGUUAAGUUGGAUGUGAAAUCCCCGGGCUCAACCUGGGAACUGCAUUCAAAACUGACUGACUAGAGUAUGGUAGAGGGUGGUGGAAUUUCCUGUGUAGCGGUGAAAUGCGUAGAUAUAGGAAGGAACACCAGUGGCGAAGGCGACCACCUGGACUAAUACUGACACUGAGGUGCGAAAGCGUGGGGAGCAAACA